AAAUGAAAAAUUAGAGUUUUUUUCUGAUCUUUACCAAACAUAUUUGAGGUAUGUUUUUGUCUGUACACUCAAUCCAAUACUGGUAGGGAGAUAGGCCUAACCUUUUGAAGAGCUCUACUUUUUAUGAGGAAGCAUGUAAAAUAUUUGAGGAAGAAGAGUCAUGAUUAUGUGAUUGUGCCUUUGUGUGGAAUUUAAAGCCUACAAGAGCUUCUUGCCUAAAGUCCAAUUGGAAACUGUAAAUAAGAUCUAAACAGUAUUCUGUUGAACAAUGAUUUGAGCAAGAAUUUUCUAGUCAGAUAAUGAUACUGGAUGCAUUUGAGAAUGCUGUAUCCCUCAAUGGUGAUAAAAGUAGAAAUUCAGCUCUGAUAUCUUCUUUCUCAUAAGCACUUUGCCACUUUAAUGCAGUAUUUGGAUAGUUUUAAAUCUUUAUCUGUAACAAAAAUCAAUACCUUAUUAGAAAAAAAUAAAAUACGUAUUGCAUAGUUCACUCUUUGGAGUCUGGCUUUCUCAGACUCAUACAUGUAUAAAUACACUAAUGAAUAUUCGACAUUUUAUGACAAAGUUAAUAUUUUUUAUUGCAGUCCACCUUAGUAAGUAGUUCACACCUAUUGCCUGUAAGAAAAAAAACUGAGGAAAUAUAUAAUGAUGUUUGAAAUCGUGCUUCUCCAAUUCCAAUGGGCAUAUAAAUCACUGAGGAUCUUGUUAGAAGGCAAACUGAUUCAAAAAUAUAAUAAUAUUUCCACCCUGGUGCUUCAACAAAGCAUGGUGCUGAGCAUGAGGACGUCUUGUGACCCCAGGUGAAGACAGCCUACGCGGAAAGGAAGGAAACUGUAGGAUUGAAACAGUGGAUGAGCUACAGGAGUGGCUAUGAACAACCCUCAGUGAUAAUACUCUCUUGCUUACAGCCAGCCCCAAAUAAACAAACCUUUAGUUAUUAUAAAGUGUUUUGUUUUUAUCUUUAGAUUAAAUAUGACAAAAAUAUUUACAAAAGAGAGAAUAGAGGUUUCAAAG
rnacentral:lncRNA from 1 species